rnacentral:sRNA from 1 species
GUGAAAAGCUCCAGUCUUAGAGAAAUUGAAUUUUUCUAUUUAUGCACAGAAGAGUUAACGCCUUAAUGCAAAAUUGCCUGCACACACUACCUCAGUACAUGUCUCAACCAUGAGCGUGUGAAUGGAUCACCCAUACGAAUGAGAGGUUGGUUGAGUUUUCGUGCCCAUUCAGUCCUUGGCCUCU